rnacentral:rRNA from 1 species
CCGGCGACCGGCGGACGGGCGCGUAACGCGUAUGUAACCUACCUUUGACAGGGGGAUAACAUCGAGAAAUUGGUACUAAUACCCCAUAACAUCACCGGAGGCAUCUUCGGUGGUUGAAAACUCAGGUGGUCAGAGAUGGACAUGCGUUGUAUUAGCUAGUUGGUGAGGUAACGGCUCACCAAGGCGACGAUACAUAGGGGGACUGAGAGGUCAACCCCCCACAUUGGUACUGAGACACGGACCAAACUCCUACGGGAGGCAGCAG